GACGAACGCUGGCGGCGUGCUUAACACAUGCAAGUCGAACGAAGAGCGAUGGAAGCUUGCUUCUAUCAAUCUUAGUGGCGAACGGGUGAGUAACGCGUAAUCAACCUGCCCUUCAAAGGGGGACAACAGUUGGAAACGACUGCUAAUACCGCAUACGAUCUAAUCUCGGCAUCGAGGAUAGAUGAAAGGUGGCCUCUACAUGUAAGCUAUCACUGAAGGAGGGGAUUGCGUCUGAUUAGCUAGUUGGAGGGGUAACGGCCCACCAAGGCGAUGAUCAGUAGCCGGUCUGAGAGGAUGAACGGCCACAUUGGGACUGAGACACGGCCCAGACUCCUACGGGAGGCAGCAGUGGGGAAUCUUCCGCAAUGGACGAAAGUCUGACGGAGCAACGCCGCGUGAGUGAUGACGGCCUUCGGGUUGUAAAGCUCUGUUAAUCGGGACGAAAGGCCUUCUUGCGAAUAGUGAGAAGGAUUGACGGUACCGGAAUAGAAAGCCACGGCUAACUCUGUG
rnacentral:rRNA from 1 species